rnacentral:lncRNA from 1 species
GAGAGAGAGAGAGAGAGAGAGAGAUUGAGGGUCACUAGGAGAGACGUAAAGAGACAGGGUAAAUAAAGAGAUAGAAGACAGUAAAUAAAAGCGACAUAAAGAGAGAAUUAAACUGAAGAAAAGAAAACCGGAGAGAAAGAAAAGCAGAGAGAGAAAUAGAGGGAGAGAGAAAAAGUGGAAGAGAGAGUAAAAGAGAAAGAUAGAGAGAGAGAGAGACAGAAAGAGAGAAAUGAAAGAAAAAAGAAGCAGGGAGAAUGGAGAUGUAGUGAAGAAGACGAUGGAAAGAUAUAAGAGAGUAAAGUAUAUACAUAUGAGAGAGUGAGUGUGAGUGAAAGUGUGAGUGACGAGUUCUACUUGAACUUCCUACUAAAAGAAAAAAACAAAAACAACAAAAAACGGCCAUGGCAGCCGUCACAGUCUUUUCCUCAGCUUCUUCUCUAUGUUAACCGUGCUAUAUGUAUGUAUAUAUGUAUAUACACACCACAAAAUUACCAGGAAACGUUUUACAACUAAACAUACAUGAGGCUUGACUACUGUCUCUUUUAAAAAAAAAAUUAUUUAUUGGAGAUUUUUUUAAAAGAAAGUGAGAGAGAAACAGAGGGAAAAAUAUAUCUUCGACGUUUCUUUGCUGAUCUUCCACCACCUUGUUAUACUUAUAUAUGUAUAGAUAUAUAAAUAUACAGCUAUAAAAUCUACACACUGCUUGUAUAUAUCAUAUAUAUCAUAUAUAUUAUAUAUCCAUACAUACACUCACUCAUAUGAUAUUCAUUCAUAACAUAUAUUAACACAUAUAUACACACACACACACUCAUUUACAUGAUAUAUAUACACAUAUAUAUCAAUAUAUAACAAUAUUACACAAAUACACGCCACACAAGCAAUCACACAUAUAUCCAUAUAUAUAUAUACACACUCAUUUACAUAUAUAUGUAUAUACACAUAUAUAUCAAUAUAUAAAAACAAUAUUACACAAAUACACACCACACAAGCACUCACAUAUAUAUCCAUAUAUACACUCAUAUACCAUUCAUUCAUACAUAUAUUAGCGCAUAUAUACACACACUCAUUUAUGUAUAUAUAAAUAUAUUUAUAUAUGUAAAUGAAGAUCGGUGAUCGUCAUGGAGCUAGGAGUUAUCCAGAUGACUCCACUUAAUAUUCUUCUACAAGACACUGUAAUAAUUCGCCAUAGAACGACGAGGUAAGAAAGAAA